CCAGAACUGAGAGAGAGAUGGAGAAGGAGGAGAAACAACAGGGCGGAUGCCAGAGAGAGGAGAGGGAGAAAUAAACGGAGGCCAAGAAGGAGUUUCUCAGACAGGAAGUGGAGACCAGUACUUUAGGAAGCCCUGCUGCUGCUGCUGCUGCUGCUGAGUGUCUAGAGCACCUGCAGUCCAGAUACUGGAUCUCUGCUCACCUGCACUCGACUCAACUCUGAUGCAGCACCAGGUUAAGAAAAAUGAAUAAUGCUGCCCCGAAGAUCAGCAAGUUUCUCUAAGUUGACCAAUGUCUUCAUUCUGAAGAUUGUGGAGGAACCUUCUAGGAGACGCUUGAGUUUGAUCCAGAAUGGCUGGCCAUCCUGAAAUGGACAGACAAACCUUCAGAAACCAUCCCGCAGUUGCUGGAACCCUCCGCUGGACAACAGACUACACAGCAGAUACAAAACACUUGACAAUGAUCACAAUUGCUCAUUUUCUGAAAGCUUUCUGAUACCACAUAUUCGUUUCUAUUUCUAAAUGUUUUAGCAUCCUGUUCCUCUGCUUCUUUCAGGUGGGAUUUCAGCCCUUCAGACAGACAUCUACGUCCUGGUGAAGGGCAAAGUGAACAGACUUACAGGGAGGAGUUUUUUCCACUUCCUUGAUGACUUGAAGUUUCAGAAGAACUGCAUUUACGGGAAUUAAAAAUGUAAGACAAUAUAAAUGACUUUAUCCUCACUUUUGUUCAAUGUAAAGUAUCCUUCCCUAAAUAAAACUGUUCAUUUUAAA